GGACCAAAACCCUCAUCUCCUCACGCAAAAAUCCCUCCAUCCCUUUCUUCUUCAAACGCAAAAUUCCUCCCUUCCCGUCUCCUCCCUGAACGCCGCCGGCCGCUGCUGCUAUCCUUAACUUCUUCGUCUUCCAACGUCACCGGCAGCUGCUACCGUUUCGAUUUGAACGCCUCAUCUCCUCUCCGUCAACGCUGCUGCUACCCUCUGUUGGACAGAUUAAUAACAUAUUGAAGAAAGAGUAUGACGGUUUCAAGUAGACCAAGAAGUCGGAAAAAGUGAAAGACUUGCAGAUCAAUGAUGGUUCUUAACCAAUUUGGGAUGAAUUAAUACCAACAACUGAUUAAACAACUAGUGAAGAACAUGCCUCUUCAAUCCAACUAUUGGUUGGUGUUGUUUCUCAUGAUGGAAUGAGAGUUUAUUUCACUACAAAGAAUGGAACUCUGCUUGAACUAUCUGAGCUUGAGCCUCCAAGAUUGGUAGAUCACGGCCAGCCCCGUGACGCCAAUGUUGCAGCAGUAGCAGAUGUUGCUUGUUUCAGAACAAAGAUUGUGUAUACAAUAAGAUGAUAGGAGGGAUGAUCCUUUGGGUCUCCUAUCAAAUUAAUGGACCUACGAGAGGCUUGGUUUAUGAAGUUACUGUUGAUUAUUCGUAACUAUGUUUCCUACGCAAUGGUUCGUCAUGAAGUGCUAAGAAUUCAAGAAAACAAAGUGGAGUCGUUGACUUGGGAGGAUUGGGAAGUUUUUAAAGGAUUACCAGAUUCCUCAGUUUUCUUCAUUACCAUGGAUGCAGUGCUGUGGUCCGCAAUCCUAAGGAUCCGUGAUCUCUCACAUUUCCACUCUCUCUCCAUUUCUUCUUGCUUUAUUUGUGUAGAUGCUGAACCUACGUACCAGUCCGUCAGAGCAACAACACACGAAACCGUGAUUGAUGACUGAAUUUGGUUUCGAGCUAGUUCUUCCUGCUCCACUGUUGCCAAAUGUGAGGAUGAUGAAGAGAAUCAAGUGGUUCCAAUGUCGCCACCACCUCCAGUUUCGAGCUAGUUCUUCCUGCUCUCCAUUGUUUCUUCUUCUUUGAAUGAUUUUAACUAGAUCUUAAGAAAUCUGAGGUUUUGUCCGAAUCUAUUGGAGCAGCGAAACCAUAUUUGUGGCAAUUCAUUGAUGUAUAGGCAUUUUUGUAGGUUUGGUAGGAAAAUUUCCGGUUUAAAUGUACUUAUUUAAAUAGCUAGCUUGUUCGUAACAAACCAUAUAUGUACCAACACUUAAAAGCGAAAUUAUAAAGUGUAUGUUUCUUUA